rnacentral:rRNA from 1 species
GAUGAACGCUGGCGGCGUGCCUAAUACAUGCAAGUCGAGCGAACAGACGAGGAGCUUGCUCCUCUGACGUUAGCGGCGGACGGGUGAGUAACACGUGGAUAACCUACCUAUAAGACUGGGAUAACUUCGGGAAACCGGAGCUAAUACCGGAUAAUAUAUUGAACCGCAUGGUUCAAUAGUGAAAGACGGUUUUGCUGUCACUUAUAGAUGGAUCCGCGCCGCAUUAGCUAGUUGGUAAGGUAACGGCUUACCAAGGCAACGAUGCGUAGCCGACCUGAGAGGGUGAUCGGCCACGCUGGAACUGAGACCCGGUCCAGACUCCUACGGGAGGCAGCAGUAGGGAAUCUUCCGCAAUGGGCGAAAGCCUGACGGAGCAACGCCGCGUGAGUGAUGAAGGUCUUCGGAUCGUAAAACUCUGUUAUUAGGGAAGAACAAAUGUGUAAGUAACUAUGCACGUCUUGACGGUACCUAAUCAGAAAGCCACGGCUAACUACGU